UUGUGACAUAACACUGGGUGCAACAACCAGGUCAUGUGUCUCUUCAGCCUGGGCCUAGCCCACCACGGAACACUGUGACAUAUUGCUGCUUCCAGAAACUAGGUUAUUUACCUCUUCUCUUCUGCCUGGACACUGCCAAAAUAAAGGAGAUUGUAGCAAUUCACUGGACCCAGACCCUAGUUGAGGGAGCAUUGUGACAUAUCACUGGGCUCAGCACCCAGGUGAUGUUCCUCUCCUGCCUGGUCCCUUCCAUCAGGGAAUAUUGUACAAAUCUCUGGCCCAGCACCCAGUUGAUGUGACUCUCUACUGACUACCAACUCACAGGUUACAUGUCCCAUGUUGCAGUCUCCAAAGUUAUCAGAAACCUUCAUUUAAAAGCACCUGGCAAAAUUCCAUAGCGGACCAUAAAUCACCUCUCGAAGAGGAUCGAAU